CGUUUCAUAAGGGAUCUCCAAUUGCACUCGCUUCGCUUAUUUGUUUUCUUCUAUCACUCUUAGUUUCUGCGUUAUAUCUGUCUCUUUCUGGGUUUUGCGCUUCAGAAUUGCAGCUAUGGGUUGCGAUUCUAAAAGAAGGCGUAGAGAGGAUGUGGGUGACACAACGAUUUCAUCAUCCAAGAAGCAAAAGCUGAUGCCGGUGACAGGUUUGGAGCAGACCCAAAAACUUCUUUGUUGCGGCAUCUUGCAGGAGCUAAUUGAUCACCGUUUUGGCUCUGUGGCUGUUCGAAUCCCUGAUUCUCAGGAGGUUCGAAGGCCUAUGGAUCUGUCCACCGUCAAAUCCAAGUUGGAGAGAGACAACUACUCCAGUAUUGAUGCCUUUGUGGCCGAUGUCAGGCUUACCUUCCAAAACGCGUCAUGGUGUUACCCUCUUGGAGAUAAACAGCGUGCAAUGGCCAGGACUCUUGGUAAGGUUUUUGAGGCUAAGUGGAAAUUAGGGUUUCCUGAAACUAGGUCUUCAACCUUGAAAGCUUCUUGUGCUAGUUUGGAUAGGUUUGUGUCUCCUAUUAGUCCAGUGAGUCCAUUAAGUCUUAAACAACUCAACAACAACAACAACAAAAGAGAGGCCAAGAGGUCAUCCAGAAACCUUGACGAAAAGAAGGGUUCUGCUUCUGCAGUGGAUAAAGAUAAGGAACACCGAAUCAAGCGCGGCCUUGACGAAGGGAAGGGUUCUGCUUCUGCUAUCACUUGUGCAGUGAAUAAAUAUAAGGAGCUCCGAAUCAAGCGGCUAAGGGAACAGGCUCGUAAGGAAAUUUUGAGGGUUGAAGAGGCUGCUCGCUUGAAAGUCGAGAAUCCUUUACAAGAUCUUCAACAACUCAAGUUGUUGUGCAGUGGUGGCAUCAAACAGGAUUCUUGUUACAGGGUUUAUCGUUGGUUGACACUUGAGAAGUUGGGCAUCUAUUUGAAGAGGGAUGAACUUGAAGAUGUUGAUGAGGAUGAAUUUCGCAUUGGAGAUUGGGAAGAAGAUGGAGAACAGAGUCCACAAACAACUAAAUAUUACAUCCACAUAUGGUGGCAUAUCAUCAUCAUCAUCCACAUGUAAGAGAAAAGAAACAGUACCAUUUCCUCACUGUGUGGGGUUACUGAUUCCAGAAAAGGGUAUCUUGUCUGUACAGUGAUUUUGUUUUUACAAUUGCAUCUGGUUUAUUGCAAUGAGUAGCUAAACCGUACCAUAAUGGUUAUUUUGACAUUGAUCCAUGUGGUAAAUUUUGUAUUUAGUGUGCUCCAAUAUUUGCUGUACUUGGUUGAGUAUUGAGGGUACGUACUUUUCAAUGUUUCUUCAUAGACAGCAUUCAAUUUAGACUGCUGAAAGUUUACGUCUUGGACAUGAACUUAUUCUUGGUUCACUUGUGUACAGAAUUCUGUUUCCUCCAGAAUGCAUGGUGGCUUUACAUUUUGUGUUUUGAACUUUUGAAGCUAGGAAAACUAUGUUGUGAACUUGUGAUGUUAUGAGAAAUUGCAAAAAAAAGUCAUCCUGUUAAUGAUUUUUUGUUUGAAUUUCUUUUCGAACUAUGUGAUUCUAUUUCUGUAGUUCCAGGAAAUUAGAUUUUAAACUUAGAUAACCUUUUGUUUUGCCUAGUUGUAAGGGUUUUUGUUGAAUGUGUUGUUUUGGAGAUUUUUUCUUCUGUUUUGUGUUUUCAACUUCAGGAGCUUCCUGAAGGUAGCUGGUAUUGUCCGCAUUGCACCUGUUGGAUAGAUGGCGAUUCUGCUGAUGAUAAAGAGGCUUCAAGCACUUCUGAUGGAUUUCAAUGUUCACAGUGCAAGCAAAAACCUUUUGUAAGACUAUCUUUCUUGCACCUAAAUAGUUUUCAUUACCUGUAGAGAGGGCUUAAAGUUGUUUGUUGUGGACGUGUGCUAUGUACAUCAGAACCGACAGAGUUCUCUUCCAAGGCUUGACAGAGGGGUGUUAGUGGAACUCUAUUGAAGAUGUAUUUCCCAGGUCAGGCAUUUGCCAAGAAUCAUUAUCGACCCUUGCCCUAUUUGGUGCAUGUCUUGUGAAUUGUGACAGUACACAUCCUUAGUUCCUUAUUCCCAACCUUUUGAUUUGAGUCUGUGUGGUUGAAGCGCAAGGUAUUUCAAUACUUUGUUCAAGUCCUCCUAGCCAACACUCUAGUUGCUGUAUAAUACAUUAAAGCCUUUUGGCACUUGUUUCAUAGCCAAAGAGAAGUUCUGGUUAAGCUAGAUUAUACUCAGAAGGCCGUAAUUUCCAAUGGGGGAUGUUUCAUUUUAUCUUCUAGGAAAAAAACUAGCAAAUAUGCCUUGGUUUUUCAUGGCAGCACUCGUUACAUUUCAACCUCUGCAGACAAUGUAAAGUUGAGUACAUAGCAGCACUAGUUCUGUAUCUUCAUUCUAUUCUUUGGUGAUGCCUCCAAGCAUACAAAGUCCGAUCUUAAGAAUCAAAAGUAUGCACUUCAACACGUGUUCAUUUUCCUCAGAUUCUCACAUACAGUCUCUGUUUUCAACUUCAAUUCUGCUUUGAUUUCGUUUUCACAAGCACUCAUUUAGUUCACUUGAUUUUCAGAUGUGCUCAUUCGACAGUGGCAGAAAGAGCAAGGUCCAAAAUUUGCACAAGUCUUCCGAGUGUUGCCAGAUAACAAAGUACAGUUUCUUGAUGGAAGAAACUGUCAUGCAUGGCUAAGCUUCAUAUAUAAUCAGGUUUUGGUCCCUGCUGAUACACGCCCCUUUUCUCAUUCAUAAAAUAGUCCCAUCUACUUGUAGAGAAUCAUAAAGGUGUAAUCAGGAGAAGAUCAAAAUGAAUGAAUCAAGUUCUUCAAGUAAGUAUGCAAUUCUUCUAGUUUUAAUAUUUUCUGGAAAUCUGGGAUUGCUGAUGCUGUAUCUAUCCUAGUUCUAUUUUGCACAGAAAUGUCUAUCUACAUGUAUUCAUUUGGAUAUAGAUUUGUAUUUAUUUUCAUGUACAGUUCUAACAAGAUUUUGUUAAAAUCACCGGCCAUCUGCCAUGGCAUAUCACAGUUUUUCGCAGCCAAGGCACGAAUCAAAUCCCAUGUUCUGCUCCUUUCUCUCCGGGCAGCAAAACCAUAAAUUCCCGUAAAUCUAUACACAGCAGGGAUACCUGGUUCUUUGAUCUCCACAUCAAUGUGAUGGGGAGACUUUGUUCGAAGAUCAGCAUGAAUCUCACCAUUCCAGAGAAGAGAUAAACCCUAAGAACCAUCUUCAUGUGGGUAGCAAAUGUGGCCAAUGAAACCAAGUUUGUUGGCAAGUGAGGCAAUAUGUGAUUGGUUUGGCUAGGGUUUCAACCAAAAAAAUCAAAUUUGGCUUCUUUAAUUGAGCUAGGUCAACGAGGGCUCAUUGAGUUUCGUUGCAGACAAUUCCACGACAAUUCCAUAUCUAAACGUUACCUUGUAGCAUUCUUGAUCAUUGGAGGACGACAUACUCAUCACAUAUAGGGGUGGCGCAAACCUUAGCAGCACUGCUUAGAGAGAGUAUAUCUAAUAUGCCCUUCUGAUAGUAGAAAUGCCCUUCUGAUAGUAGAAAGUUAAAUUAAGGGGGGUGUAUUCAAUCUAGAUUUUAAAUGAUUCUAUAUGAUUUUUAAUAAUCCACGGAUUCUCAUGGAUUUUGCAGAAUCCACAUAUUGUUUUAAUUCUAUAUGGAUUUAGACAUAUUCUAAUGUAUUAUAUUAACAAGAUUUGUUUGGAUUUUAGGAUGUCAACAAGAUGAUCUGUACGCUUGAACCUUAAUAUUAUCUGGGAGUGGAUAAUCAUUUCAUGCA